GCUCCACUGGCGCAAUGGUAGCGCGCGAGACUUCUACGACACCAACAAACGGUAUCUCGAGGCUGCGGGUUCGAGUCCCGCGUGGAGUA